CUGGUGUAUACUGGUCCAUACUGGUCUAUACUGGUCUAUGCCAUUCCAUAGUAGUUUAUAACAGCCCAUACUGCUCCAUAGCACCCUAUACUGGUCUAUACCAAUCUAUACUGGUCUCUACUGGUCUAUAGCAGUUUAUACUGGUCCAUACUGGUCUAUACUGGUCUAUGCCAUUCUAUAGUACUUUAUAGCUCCCCAUAGCAGUCCAUACUUAUCUAUACUGGUCUAUACUUAUCUAUACUGGUCUCUACUGGUCUAUACUGGUGUAUACUGGUCCAUACUGGUCUGUACUGGUCUAUACUGGUCUAUGCCAUUCCAUAGUAUUUAUAGCAGCCCAUACCGCUCCAUAGCGCCCUAUACUGGUCUAUACCAAUCUAUACUGGUCUCUACUGGUCUAUAGCGCUUUAUACUGGUCCAUACUGCUCUAUACUGGUCCAUACUGGUUUAUACUGGUCUAUACUGGUUUAUACUGGUCUAUACUGCUCUAUGCCAUUCCAUAGUACUUUAUAGCUCCCCAUAGCAGUCCAUACUUAUCUAUACUGGUCCCUACUCGUCUAUACUGGUCUCUACUGGUCUAUACUGGUCUCUACUGGUCCAUACUAGUCUAUACUGGUCUCUACUGGUCUAUACUGGUUUAUAGCCCCCCAUAGUCCUUUAUAGCUCCCCAUAGCAGUCUAUACCAGCCCAUACUGCUCCAUAGCGCCCUAUACUGGUCUAUACCAAUCUAUACUGGUUUCUACUGGUCUAUAGCGGUUUAUACUGGCCCAUACUGCUCUAUACUGGUCUAUACUGGUCUAUACUGGUGUAUACUGGUCCAUACUGGUCUAUACUGGUCUAUGCCAUUCCAUAGUACUUUAUAGCUCCCCAUAGCAGUCCAUAUUUAUCUAUACUGGUCUAUACCAAUCUAUACUGGUCUCUACUGGUCUAUAGCGGUUUAUACUGGCCCAUACUGCUCUAUACUGGUCUAUACUGGUCUAUACUGGUGUAUACUGGUCCAUACUGGUCUAUUAUAGCAGCCCAUACCGCUCCAUAGCGCCCUAUACUGGUCUAUACCAAUCUAUACUGGUCUAUACCAAUCUAUACUGGUUUCUACUGGUCUAUAGCAGUUUAUACUGGUCCAUACUGGUCUAUACUGGUCCAUACUGGUGUAUACUGGUGUAUACUGGUUUAUACUGGUCUAUGCCAUUCCAUAGUGGUUUAUAGCUCCCCAUAGCAGUCCAUACUUAUCUAUACUGGUCUAUACUUAUCUAUACUGGUCCCUACUCGUCUAUACUGGUCUCUACUGGUCUAUACUGGUGUAUACUGGUCCAUACUGGUCUAUACUGGUGUAUACUGCUCUAUGCCAUUCCAUAGUACUUUAUAGCUCCCCAUAGCAGUCCAUAUUUAUCUAUACUGGUCUAUACUUAUCUAUACUGGUCCCUACUGGUCUAUAGCGGUUUAUACUGGUCUAUACUGGUGUAUACUGGUCCAUACUGGUCUAUA
ensembl:lncRNA